rnacentral:rRNA from 1 species
CCUCUGAACUGUGCCCUACGCGCACGCACGCACCAGUUUCUCUACCUCUGCGCUCGGCUAGCUAGCCGAUCGACUAGCCCGUUUGUCUAUUGGUUGGUACACGCAAAAUCGGACUGACGUCUCCUUCCUCCUCCCUUCGCUCAUCCAUCGAUCGCUGUCUGCCUGCCCGCGGACACAACCGCCGCCGCCGACGGACGUGCCCUUCCUUCCUAAUAUCCACCUACGCCACAUCCGCGGUAGAGAAGAGGCCGGGUCAGGCGGACUGACAGGCACAUGCAUGCACAGAGGCAGCGAUAGGAUAAAUUUGGAGAAGGAGGAGGAGGAGAGACCUGAGAACUGACGUAGCGUAGCGUAGGUAGGUAGGUAGGUCUCGUCCGAUGGUGGCAUGCGGGGGAGGAGCGGGCAGAGGCCGGUGCUGGUUGAGGCCGCCCAGAGGGGUAGGAGGAGCGAGGGGACGGGGCGGCGCGUAAGAAGUCCUCUGCACACGCUUUUGGUGGGAACUGACUCCUCCUCUGAACGAGGACGUAGUCCCGGCCGGCCCUUCUUCUACCCGAAGGACAGCGACGAGCAGCACCGAAGGUACGGGUAGCAGGUCCAGGACGAGUAGCCGCAGUAGCCUCGGAAGGAGCGGAGCCCCAUGUCGUUCCAGGAGUGGCGGUCGCGGGCGUCCCUGUACUUGUUCCAACAAAAAUGUCAGAAGUGGGGUAGAGAGUAGAAGCGGUUGGAGCGGUUCUGCCAGUGUUACAGUCUGCAGUAGAGGACCACCAAGUACGGCCACUUGUAUCGUUAGUGUAAGGACCAACCGUCACGAGAUCCGACCGAUCGCACGUUCUAGGAGUUUGGCGGCGGCGUAAAGGCACCGGAGUAGUACCGGAAGACGAGUCGUCCUUUAGAGCCAUUGGACGACGACUAGCAGCAGGGCCGCCAGACGCUGCUUCUGCCGUUGGGCAAACCCUUACUGGCCUCGGUCACGGCGAGCGCGCCGGAGAGGAUGAGCAGCGACAGGUACCGAGAACCACCGGAGAAGUAUACCUGCAUGUGGAUGUCGGACUACGUCUUCAGGCCGUUCGACAUGGUGUUCUACGUCAGGUUCUCGCAGGUCACGGGCCGCCUGUCGCUGCUCCUCGUAGAGCUCCCUAAGUUUCGGCCGCUGCUCCUUCGCCGGGAGGGGCGUAGCCGACCUGGGCUACUGCUUGUGUUGCUCCCCUCUGUCUAACUCCGAGGUGAGGACAGCACGCUCUCGCUACAGCGGUUGUUGUUUCCCAAGACCUGCUUGUACUUCCUCCGGCACGUGGUCGAGCAGCUCCUCGAGUACCGCGGCGGCUGGUAUAGGCGCUAUUAACCUAAGCAACAACCCGAUCACGGUACCGACUUCAGCGACUAGUAGCCGCUGCCGCGGGGAGAGUCUCAAUAGGUCCUAAGAGACCUCAACUACCCGUUGCCGUGGUAUGGGACGUAGUGGGAGUAGGACCCUCCUUUGGACUGUGUUCCCGACGCCUUCAGCCACGACUUCGCGCGCCACUAGCACCGCUAGCACAAAUAGGCGAUGCACCGAUACGGUCAAUAGCCCUAGCGGCAGCAGGCACGCCGCGUGCCCCAGCCCAAGGAAGGGGUGCUGGGAGAGAUGGCCAUGCACGACUACAACGUCAAGCGCGACGGCGGGCGGUACUUGUAGCCCUGUUACCGCGUCGACAAGCUGCAGCCCGUCCUCCUCACGAGCCACUAGAAGGACACCUGCAUGGAGCAGCGACGACACCGCGAGUGGUGGACCAGGUGGCAGAAGUACAGGUAGGAGAGGACUUCGUACUUCGUCCGUUGGUACUUGUCAAGUUAAAACAUUACCCAGUCCCUCUUAAGGCCAUCUAAGGUAAACAUUUCACAAGUAAGGUCUCAAACAUUCAUCUGUGCGGUAAGAAAGACAUACGAUUUAUGAUCAGGUAAGAAAUAGCUUCUUGUAUCAUCAAGUAUAAGUCGGACAGGACGAAAACGUUGUCUGACG